rnacentral:rRNA from 1 species
UACGUAGGGUGCGAGCGUUGUCCGGAAUUAUUGGGCGUAAAGGGCUCGUAGGCGGUCUGUCGCGUCGGGAGUGAAAACUCAGGGCUUAACCCUGAGCCUGCUUCCGAUACGGGCAGACUAGAGGUAUGCAGGGGGAGAACGGAAUUCCUGGUGUAGCGGUGGAAUGCGCAGAUAUCAGGAGGAACACCGGUGGCGAAGGCGGUUCUCUGGGCAUUACCUGACGCUGAGGGAAGCUGAAG